UCCCAUUGAUUCUGAGUUGCCUUACAGUCUUCAUUGAAUUCCUGUUUUGAUUAAGUUAGCCAGGGUUGGUUCCUAUUGUUUGCAACCCCAGCACCCUGACAGUUACUGCCUUGGUCAAUGGGAAAAUGCUGCAGAGUCUGUGAGUUUGGGAGUGAAAUAGAAGCCAUUGUCAACGUUACAGGAUUCUAUCUGUGAGAUCAUCGCUGUCAUCAGGGUUAGCAGCCCCUUCUGCAUUGGUUUCUCUGAAGAGUGUUUUUCUUGCUGGUUCUGAUCUUGCUCUGCUCACGCCAAGAGCCCUAGAGUCUCUCUGGGCCCCAUCCACUCUAAUGUGCUACCAGAAGGACUUUGACUUUGUUCAGGUAUCAGGUGGCCACGUUCUUUAGGGUAGAGAAGAAAGAUAGAAGGAACUUGGGUCUUGGAUGAUGGUAUUGAGCACCUGAAUUAAGCAAUGCUGGA
rnacentral:lncRNA from 1 species